UACGAAGGGGACUAGCGUUGUUCGGAAUCACUGGGCGUAAAGCGCACGUAGGCGGAUUGCUAAGUCAGGGGUGAAAUCCCAAGGCUCAACCUUGGAACUGCCUUUGAUACUGGGGAUCUCGAGUCCGGAAGAGGUUGGUGGAACUGCGAGUGUAGAGGUGAAAUUCGUAGAUAUUCGCAAGAACACCAGUGGCGAAGGCGGCCAACUGGUCCGGUACUGACGCUGAGGUGCGAAAGCGUGGGGAGCAAACAGG
rnacentral:rRNA from 1 species